GACGAACGCUGGCGGCGUGCCUAAUACAUGCAAGUCGAACGCUUCUUUCCUCCCGAGUGCUUGCACUCAAUUGGAAAGAGGAGUGGCGGACGGGUGAGUAACACGUGGGUAACCUACCCAUCAGAGGGGGAUAACACUUGGAAACAGGUGCUAACACCGCAUAACAGUUUAUGCCGCAUGGCAUAAGAGUGAAAGGCGCUUUCGGGUGUCGCUGAUGGAUGGACCCGCGGUGCAUUAGCUAGUUGGUGAGGUAACGGCUCACCAAGGCCACGAUGCAUAGCCGAUCUGAGAGGGUGAUCGGCCACACUGGGACUGAGACACGGCCCAGACUCCUACGGGAGGCAGCAGUAGGGAAUCUUCGGCAAUGGACGAAAGUCUGACCGAGCAACGCCGCGUGAGUGAAGAAGGUUUUCGGAUCGUAAAACUCUGUUGUUAGAGAAGAACAAGGACGUUAGUAACUGAACGUCCCCUGACGGUAUCUAACCAGAAAGCCACGGCUAACUACGUG
rnacentral:rRNA from 1 species